AAGUCGUAACAAGGUUUCCGUAGGUGAACCUGCGGAAGGAUCAUUAACACGUAUCCAACGUUAAACCCCCCUGUGAACCUUUAGUGUGCUCCCUCAUUCUGUUGGAACGUGGCAAUCCCUGGUAAAUCAUCGCCGAACAGUUUUGAUUCAGGGACUUCUGCAAAGAGUGCUGGUUGUAGCGCGAGGCAAGUGGCCUGGCAUUCCUCUGCUUGUUAGUGUCUGAAAGUGUCACUGGCUCUGUAAGAAUGGCGCAGUCACGAUCGCUAGAGGCCGACACGGCCGGCGACCGGGUCAGUGAGCUCUGCUCCCGCUGUUACGUCAAAACCCCAAGUUCCCCUCUAGUGAAAGCUAUUGGGUUAUAACUAAACGACUGUUAACAAUGGAAUCUCGAUUCUC
rnacentral:misc_RNA from 1 species